GCGAAAACCUUGUUCAAGCGGACAUACGAUCGUCACAGCUUUGGAAGUGCCUUCUAAUUUCACUACUCGGCAGUUCCAAUUUCAAUUCAGACCCAGUUUCGUUCUCGAAAAGUUUGCUGAAGCGGAAAUACCGAAUAAAACGCCUUCGUUAUGAAGGGACUUUUUUUUUGUAUUACUUUCUAUGGGCAGCUGACGGGGAAUCGAAAAAUCUUCUUUGUGGCAGAAAUUUCGCUGUAGCGGUAUUUGUUGUAGGGCGAUUCGACCGUAUAGCAAAUGUGAAAUGAUUGCAAUGAGUUCGACUACGAGUCCAUUGAUACAACUCAGUUUCUGUUAACAUUUUUUCUUUUUUUUUAUUGUUCAUAUUUUAACUCUGAAAACAGUAUAUCUCUUCCUGUUUUCCCAUAGAAUAAUUAGGCCCUUGGGAUUGACAGGCCCUGCGUACAUGUGAGGACUCUUAUCUAUUUCGUAGUCUUACUACCACUUGGAGGAAUGAGCCUCACCCCCCUCUGCCUUUUUUCAGUGGCUAGCAUAGCUAUUCGUUCGUAAGGACUCUCGUUAGUGAACCUUUCGACUUCAGUCAUCAUACUCUACACGCUCACUUAGCAAUUUCACGGCUGCGUGUUUUCAUCGAGCAUCUGUGGCACUUGUUACCACGACAAAGACAAGUCCCUUUGUUAAAAGGCUGGCUCUAGACAUCCCUUCUUCAACCAAUGCUGUUUUUUUCCACAUUAAUUGAAUAAAGAAGCGGCGACAUGCAACGAGAGCGGGGUGCAGCUAGCAAAGCAAUUAACAAAGGAGAUGGGCAUGACCACCAGUGAAACUUCACCUUGCUCUGGUAGGAAAAUGACAAGUGCUGGCGUCAGCGGAGAAACUUGACAUGGGCUUGUCUAUACUUUCUAUGCAAUAGAAGAUCGCCAUAAAGCAUAAUAUGACCCACUAUUAAACUGAAAAUUUCAUAGAUAUUUAGGACAACUUGGCUAUUUCUUCAGCUUCAGAGGGAAAAAAGCACAUAUUUAUUUGACAGUAAUAAUAGUAGCACACACUAUGCUUCUCGAUUCAUAGGUACCUAAGUUGCUGAUAGUAAGAUUCUUGUAAAGUGAUUAGCCUCCUGAGCAUGUACAGCACUACUUUUUGCACAUAAUUCGAAGCAUAAAGGUUUGUGUUCAAUUUUCUGAUAUUCCAUAUUUGAUUCGAUAUGCAGAUUCUUUUCUUGAUUCCAUAUUCGAUUCGAUAUUUAGUAUUCGGUAUUCGCACACCCCUACUUAUUAGACCUUGUGCCUUCUACCAUAAGCAGAAAAUAAUCAUGUGUAUUUGCCAUAAUUCUCAAAACAUCACUUCAGAUGGUACACAAGCAGUUGAGUUUCUGAAGUUUCCUCGCUUGCACAAACAAUACCUAGCACAGCUUCUGUAAGACAAUUUUUAGCUAUGAAAGACUGCUAAGCAAACACACGUGUGACAUAAAUUGUACCUUGGUGCUAUUUGGCCAUCCCUGGCUCGUGCGCCAAUAAACACCAUAUAUCAUCAUCAUCAUCAUCCUGUAACUUGUAGAAAAAAGUAGAUUUCUUAUUUAUU